UUGACUUUACACAUUUUAAAUAAAGUCGUUUUUGAGGCAAAGUGAAAUAGUCGAAAAACUCCGUUUUUGGGAAAAGAGAAAAAAAAUCACAAAAAAAAAACUGGUUGUCAAUUUUUCGAAAAUCCUUCUUAAUAAAAUACUUUAAACGGCUCUUUUGAAAAUCUUCGAGUAAAAUCAAAAUCAGUACAUAAAAUCUCUAUGUAACUUUUUGCAAAGAUGAAAUUUUUUUUCAACAGUUACAAUAUCAAAUUCUAACAUUUUUCUGCUACCAUAGACUUUUUCUAAUAGUACAAAUAUCUUCAAUUUCGGGUGCAUAUACUAAGUCUAAGAGCCCACAGCAAAUUUUGGGAGUGGAGGUAUAACCAAAAUUUUGGCAGCUUUAAAUCGCGGCUUUAUAUGGUUUCCGAGGGGUUAAAUAUCGCGAGUUUUCCAAUUAAUCCUGAAGACAUCAAUCUUGACAGUGCGAUCAAUAGAACUCAAGAUAUAUAUUGAAACAGGUCAGGAGCACCAAAAUACGUUUUUUUGUACUAUGUCUUUCGACAUAGUAGAUAAAAGCAGCCAAUUCUUUUUGUAUCUUUUAGUACAUAAACCAAAGAACAAAAUUGUGAAAAAAGUAGACAGCGGAAGACCAGCGGAAACAUUUAAAACUCAAUUCAAAAUUAAAAAACUGCAAAUAAAAGCUUAUUGUGUGAAAAAAUAAU